CAAUCAAUCAGACAAGCUUGUCGACAGAAGAAUGAAACAUGAAGCAGAAGAAAAUCUCAGAGAUCUGGCAAAUUCUUAAAUAUUUAUUUCAUGUCCUUUCUUUGUUACAGAUUGUACGGAAAAUAUUCCCCAAAAUGUUUUUACCCAUCUGUUGGAAACACACACAUUUUCACUUAAAUACUGCAUUUAAUAAGAUGUAGCCCUGUAAUAGCCUUGCUAAUUUUCACAACCACCAGAAUCCAAUCACAAAAUGCAAAGAAAUCAUAACACCAAGGACAGAAUUGGAAUCCUCAAGGCUCAUGUGCUACGUGGUGUUACACAGAGGCUUCAGCGUACAGCAGUAGCUCAUUACCUCUUAUUUCAACAAUCUGAACUUCAGGCUAUUUUAGAAGAAGUUGGCAGCAUUUCCACUUCCCAACAAAGACUCUGGAGUACACUUUUCUGAAGUCAGCAAAGUGUUCCUGAUUUUUCCAAAGGUGAUAGUAACUCAUUACAAACCAAGUCCAAGCACCACUUGUCAAACUGAUUACUCAGCCUGGUGUAGCCAGAAAGACACCAGAUUUCAACUUGAGGAGUCAGAUACUAUUCUCCCAUCAUAAUCACAGCUGGGCAAAUCAACCAUUUAAUCCUUCUCUGCUUUUUGGUGAUAUUCAUACAGACUGCUGAUUCUUUAGGGAGGAAGCUGCACCUGAGCAUAUGCCCUUACAACCUGAAGUACAAGUAGUCAUUCCUGUAAUACAUAUAAAAGCAAAAAAUCUGGAUUUUUUUGUUUGGUUUUGGUUUAUUUGGGGUUUUUUGGGCAUUUCCUCACAGACUCCGAUCUGCUGCUCAGCUCAUUGUGGCAGACCUGUCCAAGUAUGUAGCCACGAAACAGGACUUUAAAUUAAUAGUUUAUACAGAACAUUAAUCUGUCCUAUCUCAUCAGGAAUCAGGACAAGGAAGACUUUUGUAUACUCCAUUGUUGGUUAACGUAAUUGGUAUUAGUGCCUAAUGGUACAUUUCUUGCUUUAAAACCCAGGUAGACUUAUUUGGUAUGAAGGAACAAGGAAUCAAAUUUAUUUUUUACCCUGUCACCUUAAACUUUAUUAAUGCAACAACUGUCGGAAGAGAGACUGGAAGGUCUGAAGUUUGAAGAUGAAGUCUGGAAAGCAAACACUACUUUCUGCUACUAUUAAGAAAGCAAAAGAUUCCAGUGUAACCAACCACAACUGAACUCAGCAACCACUUGAAUAGGAAGCAAGGAGGGAAAAAAAAAGAAAAAAAAAGGAAUUCCCUUAGUUUCUAUGUUGUACUUGCUUCAGUUUAUAAAGCCAGACAUUAGAGUGGAAUAUUCCUACAAAAUAGAGCCUGAAGAAACAGAGCUGUUGGAAGGAGCUUUCAGAAACAAAGAGCCUGGAGCAGAAAUUUUUAGAAAACUAAAAAGAGCCUUUAAAUGACACUUUUAGAGGCUGAGCUGCUUGCAGCUAAUGACAGGAGAGGGAAGGCAGAGGAGAAUACAAUGUUUUGAACCUGAUGGAAAACAGAAAGGGCACAGUGAAAAGGAAGACUGAAAUUCAGAGAGAGGGAAUUGGCACAUGGUGACAGAUGUCGAGAGAGAUCUGAUACAAACAGUUCAUGUGAAGUAGUACAAAGGAACAGUCAGAUGCAUAAAACCCACACAACUUCACUGCUGCAAUCAGGCUGAACUGCAUACUUGAGAUGUGACAACAGUGAAAAAUACAAUUUCACCUUUUAUUCCAAAAGUUGUAUUUUCCCUAAGCCUAACCAGCAAAGCAGAUAAGGUCAGAUCAAUCACUAAUGCAAUUCCAGGUCAUUUGGCAGACUGGUACCUGCCAAUAUUAAAUGAAAACUAGAUUCAAACUUAGGAUGUGUUCCUGAGAGGCUAGUUUCCUGCUCUCUCAAGGAUAAUCAAUAACAAAGGAUUUUGCAGGGUAAUUUUGUCCUCUGACUAACACAACCCUUAGAAAUACACCUUAAGGAAGUUACUAAAGCAUCAUGCAAAGGCAGCAGUGAUACAACGCAGUUCAGGACACCAUUGGCUCUGUAAGAUCCGAGAAAGAAAAAUAUAGUGUGAUUGACAGCUGCUACAAAAGAAAAGCUACAGAGUGAAUCUUACCUGGGGAGAAGUGAGAGUCAACAAAUAUGCAGCCCUAUGCUUUUAUUAAGGCCCUUCUUGCUAUUCCUAGAAAAGCACUAAUUUACUGAAAGAAAAAAAAAAACAAACAAAAAACCUACUGGCAGUAGAGUGGCACAGCCUCUUUGGCUUACAGUUGCCAUCAGAUGGGACAUAGCUGGAGGAGAGAAAAGAGGAUGUAUAUUUAAUGCCCCAAAUUCUUAUAGUUUCUAAUACUGACAGUAGAGCAAUCUCAAGCUGUCUAGACAUCACAGCACCUAAACACAACUUUGAAAGCUUCAUGCACUUAGUCUUCUCUCUACUUCUUCCUCUGUUCUAACACUGCUUAGUAAGGUUUCAUGGGAGGAAAAUCUAAGGGCGGAAAAGGGUACAGGAGACCUGGCAGUUCCCAAAUAAAUGACAUCAAGAUAAUAAGCUUAAAUUAUGCCAAUGGAAAGAAAGGAUAGCAAGUGUAAAAAGGGACCAACCUGACCAACAAAGAGUUCUUCAACAAUCUCAGAAGAAAAAAGCACAUAAGUAAUGGAAACAAGGACAGAUUAUUUAAGAAUUAUUAAGUAGGAGCAACAAGAGAACACAAGGACCAUUAUCAGAACCAAAAGAGGAAAACAAAAUAAGUGGCAGUUGACCUGAAUAAGAAGAGAUUGCUCUGUAAGUGCACCUGCAUUAAAAGAAAAAAAAGGGACCUUAGUUACGCAAGAUGGAAAAAAAACAACUGACAGCUGAUGACAUUAGAAAUUAACUGUUCGAUAGCUGUUUUCACUUCAGUAUUCCCUAGUAAUGGCAACUACAAGCAACUGUAUUCACAUCAUCGACAAAGAAAGAUCUCUGCCUAGCAAAAGAAAAGAAUGCGUUAGAACAUAAGUUUCCUGAAGUUCAAUGUUCACAGGUUCUCUGGGCCCCAAAGACUUCUCUAUAAGAUAUGUUAAAAAUUGGUACGUUAAUCUUAUAUUAAUAUGAUAUGUUAAAAAAGUAGCCUCAAAAACAGUAGUAGUAGUUAUAUUUGAGAAUUGGCAAGCUGAAAUGCCUAUUUUUAAACAGAAAGACAGGGAAGAAGAGAAGCAGUAAAAGCUUCUUGACCAGAGCGAAGACCAUUAAUUUUUAAUUUUAAAAAAUAUUUUGGAACAUGUACUCAAACUAUACUCAUUUAUGCUUUCCACAGUAACUAACACAAGUCGGCCAAGAACAAGUUAUGUUAAAAUCCUUUCUUCCACCGUAGUGUAAUAAAAAAGCAGUAGAUGAAGUAUCUUUAUCCUGACAUCUGACCAUCACAGGGCAUUCUUAUAAGCAAGACAAACACAGCUCAGAUGAAACUAUUACUGUAUGAAUGCAGACCUAGCUAGAGCUAUCAGAAAGGAACAAAAUAAAAUCACAGUCUACUGUCAAAACACAAAGCUGUAAGGAUGUUCUGCAGAAGUAUGUGCUAGGAUCAGUUCCAUCGAUAUUCUAACAACCUAGAUGAAAUCAAUAGAUAAUAUGGAGUUUGAGUGUCUCCCAGAUCUACUGGAGGACAAUAUUCAAUUUAAAAAAUGAUCUUGACAAGUUCAAAAGUUGUCUAGAAAAAUAAAACAUUUAAUACUGAUUAAGUAAAGGAAUCAUUAAAAACUGAAGUCUGAAUCAGUCACUGCAGCAAACAUGACCUCAGAUUUUUGACACCUUGAAUGCCAUAACAUAGCUAAGGGCUAUAAAGUAUUCCACACUGUUUAAUUGCCUCACAAUAUUUACCUUAGACUUUUUUUCCCUGACACAAUAGGGAUAGAACCAUUGAGAGGGUGUUGGAUUUGAAAAAAAGAAAAAAAAAAUCCCCCUUUUCUGCCCAAAAAGAAUUCUUGACUUACUUCAGAUCUAUGAAUCUUCUCCAUGUUUCAUUAAACUCUUCAAUUCAGAGAUUCGGCAAUCUUUAACAAUUUAGAGGGGAAAACCACCGCCAUCUCCUGGAGCAAGUGAAGCUAGCAGUUCCCUGAAUGCCUGUGCUCUGCUCUCCAUCUUGCAGUUUUCUAAGCACUGAAAAGUAACCUCAGCGACUUAGCAAGUCACCAUCAGAUGUCGCAUUUAGAAAUACAAGCAAAAGGCUACAGUAGCGUACCACUUGCAAGAUGUAUCUUGACAGCCUAAGUUCAGUAGCAACAUGCAUUAGGUGCACCCAUCCACCGCACCAAAUUCACAUGCUUGAACAGCUUCCCUUCAACCAGCCCUCCUGACCACGUACAAAUCCUGAACAGAAGUCUCCAUAAAAGCAGCAGUGGGACCAGAAACCAAAUAUACAUCUUAUUCUCAUUAAAAGCAUAGCAGACUCGAAGUGGAGUUCUACGUGACUCCUGGCCUACAGUUUUCAAAUCUUUGUGCUAUUGUCUUGCUUUUACUACUGUCAAGGAUCCAUAUUACAAUCACCUGUUUUCAUCCAACAGCCUUCAAAAAGCAGCUUCUGAGAACGUACCAAAUGCUCUAUCAGUAUAACCUAGUCAGGCAUACACCUCUGCUCUACACUGAACAACUUAUAACAGUGCAUAAGAAGUUACGCUGCAUCUACAAAGGUGUAUAAAAUUACUUCAGUAACUACUCCCCCCGCCCCACCCCAGCUUCUCUUAGUUACAGCAGUAUCCCUGAUAGGUUAUCAGAAGUGCUUUACAACAAGGGGAAGAAAAGUUAUCACGUAACUUGGGACACACCUAGUAAUAACAGUUCAUAUCUUAGGUAAGCUGCAAGCAGUGUUAAAGGCUUUUCUAUUUCCCCAGUAACACUGGCUCUUCUCCUAGCGCUCAGUUCCAGGGCUAAUUGGAAGCUACCUCAGGGAUCUAGUGCUCCAUUCAUGUCAGUUGCUACCCAGCCCAAGGAAGUAGCUCAGUUACUUUUUUCUUUUAACCGGAUUAUAUCUGAACUAGGACAUUACACAGCUGCAAAUGUUUUAAAAUUAGUUUUCUAAUAUUGACUACAUAGAAGAUAACACUCAUACCUUUUCCUAUUAAUCCAUCUUGGAAGUUUGAAGUCUUUCUGAACACUAUAGCUGUUUAAUCAUUCCUCUGAAAAAGAGCACAACUACCAAAACAAAAACAUUAAUGUCAGAAGGCUUCCAUAGUCAGAGAAGCAUCAGUAAAGCACAAGGGCUGAAUCAGGAUGAAAGCAAACUGACAGAAUAUCAGUAUCAGCAGGAUGAAAGAUAUAGCGGUCAAGCCUAGAGACACAGGCAAAUUUUAUACGCCACUACUCGGAUACUACAGUUAAAUCUUACAGUAUACUUGACAAGUGCUGUUAUUUCCUUCUUCUGGUCAUAUGAAGAGUAUGAAUAGUUUAUUAUGCCUAACGCUGUUUCUUAUCUCAUCUAAGAAUUUCAGGUGAUUUCAUGCCUUUGUCUUCUUCAUACUGGAAGGGUAUUCUGCUUAGCUUCCUGAGGCUUCUUAAGGGCUUUACCUGGUUAGGAACAACUGACGCAAAAGAUAAAUUUCCUCAGAUUAUUUUAAAAGUACUCUCCAAAGAAGACAAAAAGUGUCUUUCCCUACACUUUUAGUUUAAUCCUACAGUAUUUGGCUUCCUUCUAUUCUGCAAUUACAGUUCAGGUUCACAGGAAUAUAUCAGCUGUCAAUGCUAAAACUCAGCUUUUGGGUAAACUCAAAUAAAAGAAUUCUGGAAUUUUUUGGCCAUCAUACCUCAGGUUCGCUUUGCACAUUACAUGUUCUGAUGUGCUGUAUCCUUAGAGAAGAAUGAUGUAGGCACCUUAAUAAAAAAAAAUUCCUUAAAAAUUUAGUAUCUUCAAUUCAACAUUCAGUUUAUUUUCUAAAAUAAAAACCAUGCACAUUUGUAAUAUACAUCAUUUGAUUCUUACCAAAGACAUGUUUAUAAAUACUUUUUUUUCCUUUUUAUAAAGAUCUCUAUCUACAGUCCAAAUCCUGAAUGCCAAUCUGCCCAAUUGUUUUUUAGGCAAACAGAUUCCACUGAAGACAAUGUAGAUCUGUAUUGUUUCAGGUACUAGAAAGCAAAUGUACCUGCAGAACUAGAUAAUUAUCUCUUCAGGCACUUGCCAUUUGGCUAAACCAAGUUUAAGAGUUUCAUCACUUAUACAAAAGCAACAAAAUUCCAGUCUUUAUAGGCUUCUUCAGCUGAUUUCCACAUGAAAGUAGUGCGG